rnacentral:rRNA from 1 species
GUUGAACGCUGGCGGCGUGCCUAAUACAUGCAAGUCGAGCGAACGGACGAGAAGCUUGCUUCUCUGAUGUUAGCGGCGGACGGGUGAGUAACACGUGGAUAACCUACCUAUAAGACUGGGAUAACUUCGGGAAACCGGAGCUAAUACCGGAUAAUAUUUUGAACCGCAUGGUUCAAAAGUGAAAGACGGUCUUGCUGUCACUUAUAGAUGGAUCCGCGCUGCAUUAGCUAGUUGGUAAGGUAACGGCUUACCAAGGCAACGAUGCAUAGCCGACCUGAGAGGGUGAUCGGCCACACUGGAACUGAGACACGGUCCAGACUCCUACGGGAGGCAGCAGUAGGGAAUCUUCCGCAAUGGGCGAAAGCCUGACGGAGCAACGCCGCGUGAGUGAUGAAGGUCUUCGGAUCGUAAAACUCUGUUAUUAGGGAAGAACAUAUGUGUAAGUAACUGUGCACAUCUUGACGGUACCUAAUCAGAAAGCCACGGCUAACUACGUGCCAACAGCCGCGGUAAUACGUAGGUGGCAAGCGUUAUCCGGAAUUAUUGGGCGUAAAGCGCGCGUAGGCGGUUUUUUAAGUCUGAUGUGAAAGCCCACGGCUCAACCGUGGAGGGUCAUUGGAAACUGGAAAACUUGAGUGCAGAAGAGGAAAGUGGAAUUCCAUGUGUAGCGGUGAAAUGCGCAGAGAUAUGGAGGAACACCAGUGGCGAAGGCGACUUUCUGGUCUGUAACUGACGCUGAUGUGCGAAAGCGUGGGGAUCAAACAGGAUUAGAUACCCUGGUAGUCCACGCCGUAAACGAUGAGUGCUAAGUGUUAGGGGGUUUCCGCCCCUUAGUGCUGCAGCUAACGCAUUAAGCACUCCGCCUGGGGAGUACGACCGCAAGGUUGAAACUCAAAGGAAUUGACGGGGACCCGCACAAGCGGUGGAGCAUGUGGUUUAAUUCGAAGCAACGCGAAGAACCUUACCAAAUCUUGACAUCCUUUGACAACUCUAGAGAUAGAGCCUUCCUCUUCGGGGGACAAAGUGACAGGUGGUGCAUGGUUGUCGUCAGCUCGUGUCGUGAGAUGUUGGGUUAAGUCCCGCAACGAGCGCAACCCUUAAGCUUAGUUGCCAUCAUUAAGUUGGGCACUCUAAGUUGACUGCCGGUGACAAACCGGAGGAAGGUGGGGAUGACGUCAAAUCAUCAUGCCCCUUAUGAUUUGGGCUACACACGUGCUACAAUGGACAAUACAAAGGGCAGCGAAACCGCGAGGUCAAGCAAAUCCCAUAAAGUUGUUCUCAGUUCGGAUUGUAGUCUGCAACUCGACUACAUGAAGCUGGAAUCGCUAGUAAUCGUAGAUCAGCAUGCUACGAGAAGACGUUCCCGGGUC